UAAAAGGGGUUGGCACUCAUGAUGAGCCCCUGUUCUCAUUCUGCAAAUGGUGAAGCUCUCUAUUGUCCUGACCCCACAGUUCCUGUCCCAUGACCAGGGCCAGCUCACCAAGGAGCUGCAGCAGCACGUAAAGUCAGUGACAUGCCCAUGCGAGUACCUGAGGAAGGUUAUCAAUACUCUGGCUGACCAUCAUCAUCGUGGGACUGACUUUGGUGGAAGUCCUUGGUUAGGUAUCAUUAUUGAAUUUCCGAGAAGUUAUAAAGUUGUCAUUACCCUCUGGACAGUUUACCUUUGGGU
rnacentral:lncRNA from 1 species